rnacentral:rRNA from 1 species
UACGUAGGGUGCGAGCGUUGUCCGGAAUUAUUGGGCGUAAAGAGCUCGUAGGCGGUGUGUCACGUCGUUCGUGAAAACCUGCAGCUUAACUGUGGGCGUGCGGUCGAUACGGGCAUCACUGGAGUUCGGCAGGGGAGACUGGAAUUCCUGGUGUAGCGGUGAAAUGCGCAGAUAUCGAGAGGAACACCUGCGGCGAAGGCGGGUUGCUGGGCUGACACUGACGCUGAUGCGCGAAAGCCAGGGGAGCGAACGGG